rnacentral:lncRNA from 1 species
GUUAAAAAUCCCCUUUUUUUAUGAAUAAAGCCCCAUAAAUCCAAAACUUAAAAUCUGAAAUUAAAAAAAAAACGAAAGGGAGCUUACGUCAAUAGAUAUAAACAAUUCACCAAAGUUUCAUGGACAUUGGUGAAAGCCUUUUUGAGUUAUUGUCCGAAGUGUUGAAAAUCCCCCCUUUUUUAUGAAUAAAGCCCCAUAAAUCCAAAACUUAAAAUCUGAAAUUAAAAAAAAACGAAAGGGAGCUUACGUCAAUAGAUAUAAACAAUUCACCAAAGUUUCUUGGAAAUUGGUGAAAGUGUUUUUGAGUUAUUGUCCGAAGUGUGGACGACGAAAGGACAGACGGACGGACAGACAACGGUAUACCAUAAUACGUCCCGUCCCGGGCGUAUAAAAACAAAAA